GGGGUUAUAUUUAAUUAUAAUACUUGAAUUGCAAUCAAGAGGUAUCCAGAUGAGAUUAACCUUU
rnacentral:tRNA from 1 species